CUCGUACGUCGAGCUCAACAAUUUUAUCUGAAAAAAGAACAUGGUUACUCUUCAUUCGAGCUCUUGCAGCAGAGAAAGCGGAAUAAUCCUGACCGGUGGAAUCCGAGAAAUAAAAUAUGAGGCUUACUAUAAGAGGUAUGCCGCCGCGUAGUCGGAUCUGUUUCCUUGCUUUCCUAAUUUGGGCAAUGAUGGCCAUGGUCUCCGCAGCCAGAACCUAUUCAACGAUACAACAGUAGAAAAAUGUUCGUGGCUCCUAGAAAGGCGAAACCGAGAAGAACAGGGAAAACAUUUACGAUAUGGUGUCGCAGCAUCUCUAUCAACGGCGUGACAAUGCCAAGGUCGAUCAGAUACCGUCUCAUAUCCUUCGAACUGACAAUCUGCAACAGA